rnacentral:lncRNA from 1 species
GAAAAAGGCUUAACUAAAUUUUAAAGUUGUAUUACAAAUAAGUGACUUUGCUAUGCUUGCAUUUUGCUUUGCAUGCCAUUUUGCAUUUGUUUUUGUGCAGUGCCUCUUAUUCAGUUUUUUUUUGUGCAUCUUCCUGUUGAUUGCCAGGUAGAGAGCUCGACUGUAACACCUGGAUGUUGCUCUCUUAACAUCGUCCUUGUAUUUGAAGAAUCCACAGAUUUGUUAGUAAGGUACUACAUAAGCAGGCAGAUAAGCACAAUAACUGGAUUUUACAUGUAAGUAUAGAGCUGUGCUUGCAGUAUGAAAUGAUGAAGAACAAAUGCACCUUUGGCGUUAUUCUUGGGGUAAGUAAGGCUAUAGAUGGUAGAUUAAGCUAGAGGAUUCAGUAGAAGUUUAAGUAUUUGUGUAUGAUAGAAUUGGUGGCUGUGGAGGGUUUUAUUACAGGCUUUGAUCUAUAAUAAGAGUCUGAGCCUGGAAACAUAAAAAUGGUCCUUUCCCAUGAACAAAGCUCUGUGUGCAUAUUUGACAGCCAGCAUGACCAAAAAUGUUGGAACUUACCAAUGGGUGUAUCCCAAAAAAGUCUUUUCUGUAAUACAACUGGAAAUGUGCUUUAAAUCAGAAAGGCUGUACAGUUUUGAUUUGUUUUUCUUUACAUAGAUAUAGUAAAGAAACUUGUUUUAAAAAAAAAAAAACAAACUUUGUACUAAAGCUAGUUUUAGUGUCUCUUACUAGCUGUUUUGAUUAAUUAUUUUGCCCUGUGCCUCAUUCUUUAUGGCAGAUUGAUUUAGGAGAUAUGUGGUUGGUUCAGUUACUGUUCUCUCUUUUUUUCAGUCCAUUCAUAAGCAACUAAAUUGCGGUGGUAGUUUGCCCCAAAGAUUUUUCUGAAAACACAGACUCCCUCCAGCACCACUGAGCCGGGGAGCUGUAGCCCCAGUCACUUUGAUGUUGUUGCAGACCUCACGUUGCUGCUUUCAUUCUCAUAAUGAAGACAGUGGUGGGAGGGAGGAAAGAGAGACUUGCAGCAUAUCUUCUAAUUAUCUAUUAUAGUUUGUUAUACGAAUUUGGAGGUUUCUAAGAUAGAGGCAAGCUAGGCCUGUAAUAUUUGUAUUUUUUUCUAUAAAAUAUUAGCCUUGAUUCACAAAUAUACCACUAGAAAUUUCAUAAUGGCAUUGUUUGGAGAAUGUGAAAAAGUGUGCUCUCUUAGGAAUGGUUUAGAAAUUUAGGAAAUAAAUUUUUUAGAAGGGAAGAAUCUUUCUAGUGA